rnacentral:tRNA from 1 species
UAGCUCAGUUGGUAGAGCAUGAGACUCUUAAUCUCAGGGUUGUGGAUUCGUGCCCCAU